GAUGAACGCUAGCGGCAGGCCUAAUACAUGCAAGACGAACGGUAAGUUGAGUAGCAAUACUUGACCUAGAGUGUCGUACGGGUGCGUAACACGUAUGCAACCUACCCAUGACAGGAGGAUAGCUCCCCGAAAGGGGAAUUAACCCUCCAUAGUAAUAUUGAAUGGCAUCAUUUGGUAUUUAAAACUCCGGUGGUUAUGGAUGGGCAUGCGUCUGAUUAGUUAGUUGGCGGGGUAACGGCCCACCAAGGCGAUGAUCAGUAGGGGAACUGAGAGGUUGAUCCCCCACACUGGCACUGAGAUACGGGCCAGACUCCUACGGGAGGCAGCAGUAGGGAAUAUUGGUCAAUGGAUGGAAGUCUGAACCAGCCAUGCCGCGUGCAGGAAGAAGGCCUUAUGGGUUGUAAACUGCUUUUGCCAGGGGAUAAAAUAGCUGUGCGCAGCGAAUUGCAGGUACCUGGUGAAUAAGCCACGGCUAACUACGUGCCAGCAGCCGCGGUAAUACGUAGGUGGCAAGCGUUGUCCGGAUUUAUUGGGUUUAAAGGGUGCGUAGGCGGCCCAGUAAGUCAGUGGUGAAAUACUCCAGCUUAACUGGAGGGGUGCCAUUGAUACUGCAGGGCUUGAGUGGAGUAGAAGUAGGCGGAAUUGACGGUGUAGCGGUGAAAUGCUUAGAUAUCGUCAAGAACACCGAUAGUGAAGACAGCUUACUAUGCUUCAACUGACGCUGAGGCACGAAAGUGUGGGGAUCAAACAGGAUUAGAUACCCUGGUAGUCCACACUGUAAACGUUGAUGACUCGCUGUUGGCGAUACACAGCCAGCGGCCAAGCGCAAGCGAUAAGUCAUCCACCUGGGGAGUACGCCGGCAACGGUG
rnacentral:rRNA from 1 species